UACGUAGGGUCCAAGCGUUGUCCGGAUUUAUUGGGCGUAAAGAGCUCGUAGGCGGCUCGGUAAGUCGGAUGUGAAAACUCGAGGCUCAACCUCGAGACGCCGGUGGAAACCAUCAGGCUAGAGUCCGGAAGAGGAGAGUGGAAUUCCUGGUGUAGCGGUGAAAUGCGCAGAUAUCAGGAAGAACACCCGUGGCUAAGGCGGCUCUCUAGUACGGUACUGACGCUGAGACGCGAAAGCGUGGGGAGCGAACAGG
rnacentral:rRNA from 1 species